rnacentral:misc_RNA from 1 species
GUGAAUCAUCAAAUUUUUGAACGCAAAUUGCACUCUCCUCGGAGAGUAUGCCUGUUUGAGGGUCAGCCUAUAAAAAAUCGACAUAGUCACUGUUUCGCGGUGACAUUCGUCGGAAAUUGGGUCAUCUUAAAUCUUUGGGUUUUGAGCGGCUUAAAAUUUUCUUUACGAUUCUACGAACGUUUCUAAGAUUUACUUACACGUUUAAGGUAUCGAUUUUUAUUAGACGUGGUCGUUGCAUUGGAUGACGUCGACAAAUAUUUUGUUAAC